rnacentral:lncRNA from 1 species
CCUUGGCCUCAUCUUCUUUGGGCCUAACAGCUUUCAUAAAAAAUAUAUAUGAAGAACGAGUUUUGGGCUACCACUUAGAAAGGAAAUGCCUUGGGGGACUCUUACCAUAUGCUACUGCAUCUUGAUACUUGGAAGUCUCACGAUCACUCAGUGACUUGGAUUUUUCAAGUCUCCAAACAAGAAGUUUUCCUCGCUCGAGAAAUUAAGGGAGCACUACCUCAACCUACAUGCUUCACUCACAAAGCUUCAACAUAUAAGCUUUAACAAAAGGAAAAAUUCAAAGAACUUAGUGAAAAAGGCCUUGGUGUAUUUAACACAAUACGUUGAAAUGAAGCAAAGCUUGUUUAUUGAUAUCUCUGAUAAGUUACAAAUAUGUACAUAUACAUGAAUCAAAAUAAACAAACAAGAGGGAGCCUUCACAAAGGUUGCUCAGGAGAAGUCUCAGCAGUCGGCAGAGCCCCAGAAAGAGGAGGCACCAGAGGGUGAUUGUUCGGAGCCUCAGUACUAGGCAGAACCCCAGAAGGAGGAGGCACCGAAGGUUGAUCAUUUGGAGCUUCAUUAUGCGGUACAGCCCUAGAAGACGAAGGCAAUAAAUGCCUUUGGAAUAAACCCACAAAACUCUGAUGAUCAAGUAAAUCUGACCAUCAGAUUCCUGUAGCUGGUCGAGCUUCCUUUUCAUGUUUGUAGCAUAGUCAU